CCAAGUAGGGGAGCAGGUGCCUUAAAGUCUGGCUUCACCCCCAAAAGAAACUUCUCUUUUGGGGCAAGAGGAACUUGUUUAACACUAACAACAAUAAUUUAUCCAAGUUAAAAGGGAUUGUUUGGGUACUAGCAGGACACCAGAACAUUCUUGGAAAAGUUUGAAUUUCAGAGCAGUGUUCCAAGUGAUCCAGGUGUCUCUCAAAGGCCAGAAGAGCCCACAGGAUCUUGUCAAGG